GUUCUGAAGAUACAUUUUUACUCCAAUAAUAUGGUCUCCAUCGUUGACACUUCAUUUGAACAAACACUCAAGCACAAAAUUUUAAAUUUUUCAGUUGUUGAUGGAAAGUAUCCCCGCGGCAGCUUUGCAACUCGGCGGCAAAGCUACGAGCCUCUCCCAUCAUGACUGUUUUGUGGUUUGCAUUCUUGACAGCGUGGGGGAGAUGGUUUGUAGCAAAAAUUUUCACCUUCAAACUACUUUUAUUAAAGGUACAUUCACGCUAUUACUGUAAUAGGGCGGAGGAUGAGCUUACUUCACGAGGAAUUGGACGAAACUUCUGGUGAGCCUGUGUUUUUUUAACUUUUUCUAUCAUCAUAUGUUUUUUUUUUCCCCCUUCAUUUUUCUGUUGAAGAAAAACUGCAAAGCAGUGAGAAUGGA